rnacentral:rRNA from 1 species
UGGGGAAUAUUGGACAAUGGGCGCAAGCCUGAUCCAGCCAUGCCGCGUGAGUGAUGAAGGCCUUAGGGUUGUAAAGCUCUUUUACCCGGGAAGAUAAUGACUGUACCGGGAGAAUAAGCCCCGGCUAACUUCGUGCCAGCAGCCGCGGUAAUACGAAGGGGGCUAGCGUUGUUCGGAUUUACUGGGCGUAAAGCGCACGUAGGCGGAUCUUUAAGUCAGAGGUGAAAUCCCAAGGCUCAACCUUGGAACUGCCUUUGAUACUGGAGAUCUUGAGUUCGAGAGAGGUGAGUGGAACUGCGAGUGUAGAGGUGAAAUUCGUAGAUAUUCGCAAGAACACCAGUGGCGAAGGCGGCUCACUGGCUCGAUACUGACGCUGAGGUGCGAAAGCGUGGGGAGCAAACA